UACGAACCGUGCGAACGUUGUUCGGAAUCACUGGGCCUAAAGGGCGCGUAGGCGGGCUGUCAAGUCUGGGGUGAAAUGCCGCGGCUCAACCGUGGAACUGCCUUAGAUACUGACGGCCUCGAGGAAGGUAGGGGCAUGCGGAACUGUAGGUGGAGCGGUGAAAUGCGUUGAUAUCUACAGGAACUCCGGUGGCGAAAGCGGCGUGCUGGACCUUUUCUGACGCUGAGGCGCGAAAGCUAGGGGAGCAAACGGG
rnacentral:rRNA from 1 species